GCCCACAACCCAUAACAUUUCUACGCGGACCUAAGUCGUUGCCGUCGAUUAUUUCCUGCGUGGACCAUCGGACGGUAGAUCCUGCUCCCGCAUAGAAUCGAGAUAGGUCUCUUCUACCUUUCCGAUCCCAAACCCAUCUUUCUCUCUCGAGUUCUUGAUACACGAAUCCUUCUUCCUCCUCUCAGCAUUGUUCUUGGAGUUUGGAGAUGGCGUGGAUCUCGAUCGCCAUGAUCUCUCUCUGGGCGAUCUCUCUGUCUAGUGUGGAGGGUUUUUGUCCUCUCCUUCUUGGGUGACGUCGAAACCAGCAGUCUUUUCUUGUGCAAGAAAAGAAAUGUGUUAUUGCCGGUGGCGCAUCCCGAUGACGAGUCCAUGAGGGGCGUAAUCUUCACACUUUGCAUGUCAAUUGGUAUUAUGCAUGAAUCUAACUAUUCAGAAUGACGUGCACGCUAGCAUUGGGAGUUCUGUUUCAAAGUCAUGUUAUCUAAUUUGUUCAUUGGUGUUUCAAGAUAUCUUGAAUGAUGAAAAAAUGUAGUACAUAUAAGAUGUAUCCUUUUUAAGGCACGGGAGGGUAAGGCCCAUCCAUGGAUUUCAUUAAGUGGAUGAAAUCAAAAGAGUACAGGUGAGGAUGAAGGAGUAAAAUUACACUGAUAGAAGAAGAAACUAGAAGGAACAAUGAAAGAGAGGUAAGGAUAUUGAAUGGAAGAAGAGAAACAUUCGGUGAAGGAGGUGUUGCCAGUGGAGUACAUGGUCAUGUGUGAAAACUAGCCAUGGUUGAAGAGAUGAAGGUGGUGACAUCUCUAAUAGCUUGUGCAAAAAUUUGUUUCCUCUCAUUUCACAUCAUCCAUAGUAUGAUGAAGGGAGAGAGUUCUAUUUUUGCUUUGUGUCUCUAUUUCCAUCAAAAGAUGGAGUGAUGAUAGAUUCAAUAUCUAGUGGAUUGAAGUAAAUGCUAAGACAUCGAUUUAUAACUGCCAUAUUUGAGAGGAGAAGGGGCAUGUGAGUAAGAUAUGCAAAUGUGUUUCUUCUUCACUAUGGCAGCGCACACAGCAAUAUCCUCCUCACUAUGCUGUCAAAAGUUUCUCAUAAAUUGCAAAUCACGCAAUGACAGUGACUUUUUGUGGCAAAUAUAAUUUCCAAAUCUGUUGUGCCCAAGAAUAGGAAUGCCUCUCAGAAUGUAGAUGCUUGUAGGAGUUGACUGAAAAUUUGCCAUUAGGGAUCAUUUCCAAGAAAAGUGAUUCUGGCUUUGGCUUUCCAAGUCAAUCGUGUUAAGCACCAUAUAGAGAAGGUUAGAGUGCUCUUUUCAGUAUGUUGUUCAACUGGUACCAUAAAAAAGUUAGUACGGAGACCUCAAGGUUUCUGGAGAUGGCGGAAAGGGGACUGUCUGAGUACAAGGGGAACUUCGUUGAAUUUAAGUUCCCAAAGGAAGCCAGGCCAAAAUCUGAUGUGUCGACCAUUGCCAAGUCUGAUAAUUCAGGCUACAAAGAAAAACCAACAGAACAUCGCAACACCACUUUUCAGAAGGCCAAUGUAGUUGCAUGCAAAUUCCUGGAGGAGGAGAAUAGCGGUCUUCUAGUGUAGUGUUUUUGGACAAUCACCCUUGGCCAAGGUUGUGGACGCAUACUUUGACUAGAAAAACAGCAACUACUGUGAUUUUUUUCUCGCUAUUAAAUUUCCAGAUCAGUACAAGUACUCUUCGCAAGCAUACUGGCCCUGUGGACAUCUGGUUGUCUAUCUUAUGCUCUCUAUCUAAUCCAAGAAGACAUAUGUAUUGCUUAUCCAACAGCCUUCCACCCAAAAACUAUCUGAGCAAUGGCUGAACAUGAGAUCCAAUGGGUUUGGUUUGGGAGGUUGUUUCUGCUGUUCUCUAGUUACACGAACAUGAACACGCUUCAAAAAAAUCAAUCUCUGGCAUUUCUUGAAUGAAUAAAUUGGCGACCUUCAUUUCAUACAUCGAUUUGAUCUUUACCAUGGAACAACUUCUCUCAUGUAGCAAGUUCCCUCACGGUGUCUCGGGCUUGUCAGAAAAGGCAAUCAUCCAUGGAGCUCAAGCGUUUGUCAUGAUAGUGAUACAAGAUAAGAGUACCAGAUUGAAAGAUUGGCAGCCCGUUGUAACACGUACAUGGUGGAGAUUAUAAUGUAUUGCUUAUAAUCCUGCCAAAAUUGGAGGUCUGUGGUUAGCAAUUUUUGAUGGCUUUAUGUAAUAAUCUCACGAAUAAACGUGUGAAAUCUAGGCCUUAUUAUCUGGAGUCUAUGACUCUUCUGGUUGGAUUCUUUUCCCUUCUACUUCGGAUCGUACUCAUUUUAAUAUCUUACCAACACUAUUCAUGCUUAUAUUUUUAA